rnacentral:sRNA from 1 species
GCAUUUCCGUAACGGGGAAGGAUGAGAAGCUUCGACUAAGGUUCGAUUCGAGCGUAGCGAGAA